UUUCGGGCUGAGCUCGGGCUGGACUAUUUUGGCCCAUAACGGGCCUUAUGGUAGGUCCGCACGUGUGCCGCAUGUAUGCGUGGGGCUGCGUCGUGGGGCUUGUAAGCCUUUUAUCGUAUAUGAUCCCAUUGAAUUUCAAUUACUGGUAUUAUCAGUAUAUUCCGUCUACAUCGUCGUUUUGUAUUUUUUCUUCCUAAGCUCUGUGUUCUGAUUUCUGCAGCCGUCAUCUGUGUUUAAAGAAUUUGUUUUCUUUCUUUUGAUUUUGCUUCAUUCUGCGAUUUUUCUCUUUACUUUUCUGAUGAUCUGAUUGCUUAUACUUGAGGGCCUAUUCAACUACGUAAAGAAUUUCUUGAUUCAAUUACGUGGUCCUAAUCAACUAUUACUGUCUGUACAUGGUCAGGUUGGCAGUUGGAGAUUCGUGGUCCGCUAGGAUCAUCCAAUCAGGGUAAAAUGCCCCAUUCAAUGAAGUUCCUCCAAUCUCUUAUUGCCUUGAAGCUCCGCUGCAACAUCCAGUUGUUCGCAAGUUUAGUAAACACUGCAGAAGCUAUGACAAAUGUGUGGAUGGAUUUGAUCAUCAUUGCCAGAUGAUGCAUAGGUGCAGUAUAUGGAUCGUGUACGCCUUGGGAAAUGGUGAAGGGUGGGAAGCUAAUCUUGUCAUUUGAUGCAACAAAGAAAGCUCACUUUGGCGUGGUUGGUUUGAUAUUAUCCUUCAAGAUCCAUGUAGGAUACUGGAUAAGCUGAUGAAUCCCAUGGCAUUUGACAUCAGGUUACAUGGAUGCACAUAACAUUCUCUCGACUUGAAGAGCUUUUUAUUUUAUUUUAUUUUAUUAUUCUCCAACACCUGAUACUGAAUAUAACAUUUUGCUCACUGGUGGGAGUUUUUGGAAUGGCCAAUCAAGUCAUUGAGAACCAUCCAUUGUCAUCUAACAUUUAGCUUGCAUCACUGAUUGAACUGUUGAAUAUUUUUGUUACCAGGGAACUGGCAUCAUUUUCUUGAAAACUUGUUUGUUAUUUCAUGAAUAGGAAAAUACUAGGUGUUCUUUGGGUCUCUUUUAAUACUUUCAGUUGCUUUCUUGUACUAGCCAAUGCUUGGGAGGAGGAGGAUGAAAUUGUUUUGGUCACUUGUCAAAUUGAGAAUCCUGAACUGGACAUGGUCAGCGGACCUGUGAAAGAGAAGCUUAAAAACUUCAUAAAUGAGUUAUAUGAAAUGCGAUUCAACAUGAAAACUGGUGUUGCUUCACAAAAGCAGCUAUCAGCAUCUGCUGUAGAUUUUCAUCGGAUUAAUGAGAGUUACACUAGCAGGUAUGUCUUUAUUCCUUACCCCUUCGAUGUUGGCAAUGCGGUAGAGCUUAGAUUUUGGAACCGUUUGAAGGGGAUAAUGUGAGAACUCGCUUCUUAUUUCUGGAAGAUUGUUGGAAAAGAAACUUGAUACCCAAGGACCAAUUAACUUCAAUUUCUAUAGUUAGUAGUUCCACUGGUCUUCUAGAUGAACAAGCAGUCCUGCAAUUGUAUAUUGCACUCUUUUAUCACCAUCAUUGCUGAUAAUAGGAAAUUCAUGAA